GCUCAGGGGGACCUGAGAACUUUGGGGGCCAUCUUAGAAUUCUGCCUACCAUACCACCUAAUCUUCAAAAUUUAGCUCAAGGAUUUCUGCCUUCCUCAAUGCCUCUAGGCACUUAGGUCCACCUCUGAUUCCCCCACAGCAUCCAACACACUUAAAAUUUGUCCACUGUCUAACCUCUCCAUUUCUCCCCAGCUGGGCUGUGAAUUUCUUGAGGGCCGGAACUAAGCCCUGGUCCUCUUUGUAUCCCCAGCAUCUACAACAGCAUCCAGCUCAAUACAUGCUGUAUUUGCUGCCUGAGAGUGAGCCAGCUGCCCAAGCCAGGUCUCCAGGUUUGCAGUUGAAUUCCCAGGAUGCCGGAAAACAGAACUGCAGAGCCCCACGGUCUAUUGUGAAAGUGUCUCAUCCACCCAUCUCUUCAUGGCAAGCCCAUUUAUUUUGACUCUGCCACACAGGGAUCACUAUCUUCCCACUGGCCUUGAGGGUCUUCACUCCUCCAGGGGUAAUCAGACUGUCUCCAAUUUGCUUUAUUAAGCCAUCUUCCAUGUAAAUCUCAGCGUAAAAGGAUUGAUCAUCGUUGAUGAUUCUGCCUCCCUUGAUGAGAAGACGGUCACUCCCCAGUGAAGAGAAAGGUCCUUGCAAAACUGUCUGUGCUCUAUCAAAAUGACUUGUGAUUUCUUAAGCUCUAUGGUUUCAGUUUUAAUGUCAACAUCACUGCCCAGAACAUGGGAGUCUAGAAUUGACCCAUUUAACAGGAAAUGGGCUAAUGGAAGGAUUAUUCUGUAGAGCAUCAUUACUACAACCAACCGUAACAAUGGUGAAUGGUUUUACCAUCUCAAAAGACUUUCCAGAGAAUUCCCUGGUGGUGCAGUGGUUAAGAACCCGCCUGCCGAUGCAGGGGACACGGGUUCGAGCCCUGGUCCGGGAAGAUCCCACUUGCCGCGGAGCAACUAAGCCCACGCUCCACAGCUACUGAGCCUGCGCUCUAGAGCCCGUGAGCCACAACUACAGAGACUGUGUACCACAACUACUGAGCCUGAGCUCUAGAGCCCACGAGCCACAACUACUGAAGCCCGUGCGCCUAGAGCCCGUGCUCCACAACAAGAGAAGCCACCACGAUGAGAAGCCCGUGCACCACAACGAAGAGUAGCCCCUGCUCGCCGCAACUAGAGAAAGCCCAUGCACAGCAAUGAAGACCCAAAAUGGCCAAAAAU